rnacentral:rRNA from 1 species
AUUGAAGGCUGGAGGCAGGCCUACAACAUGAAAGUCGCACGAGUAGCGGACGGGUGAGUGCUUUCUGGGAAACUGCCUGAUGGCGGGGGAUAACUGCUGGAAACGGUAGCUAAUACCGCAUACCAUCAGAUGUGCCCACAUGGGAUUAGCUUGUUGGUGGGGUAACGGCUCACCAAGGCGCCGCCCCCUCGCGGGUCGGCGAGGAGUAGCAGCCACACUGGAACUGAGACACGGUCCAGACUCCUAGGGGAAGCAGGAGUGGGGAAUAUUGCACAAGGGGGGCAAGCGUGAUGCAGCGAGGACGCGGGUAUGGAGAAGGCCUGCGGGUUGUAAAGUACUCUCAGCGGGGAGGCGUUAUCCGCAGAAGAAGUACCGGCUAACUCCGUGCCAGCAGCCGCGGUAAUA